GCGGGCCUGGUGGAAUUGGUAGACGCGCGGGAUUCAAAAUCCCGUUCCGAGAGGAGUGCGGGUUCGAUUCCCGCCGCCGCACCA
rnacentral:tRNA from 1 species